GGGGAUGCAAUGGUUUCGACGGGGGCGUCGAGACGCGAAAAGCGGGCGGAUGCGCCUACCAUCCUUAAAAUGGGCAUCUUUAUAAAUUAAAGAACAACAACGAAUAUCUCCCGGUAGCCGCUUAAGGCUGCCCGUCCCUGCCGGAAGGUCCACGAGCCGGCGCGGGGCGUCACGACAGUGGAGCCCGUGAGCGCGGUAAGCUUUGCCCGCGCCAUGAACGAUGAAGCUACCGGAUCCCGCCGCGUGACGGCUUGCGGCGGGGCGAGGAAAGUGGGCGCGAGCCCGAAAUAACCGUCUGCGCCCGGAGAAAUUCGCGCCAAAGCGCUUUCGGACGCGGGUUCGAUUCCCGCCAUCUCCACCA
rnacentral:tmRNA from 1 species